rnacentral:lncRNA from 1 species
ACUACAUUACGUAUGCUUGUAUAUUUUUGUUUUUUUGAACAAAAAAGUGUUGGUUUUAAAUGUGGUAAAUGAUAAUUGGUCUAAUCUGCAUAAUCAAAGCUCUUUGGUAUUUUACAUAAUUCUUCAGAGGAUAAGGAAAUUCAAAGCCAAUAUGUUUAAGGACUUAAUUGGUGGUGAUUACAAAACAGAUAAAGCUAUUUAAGUUAGAGACGGAAACUAAAAGAAAAAAAUAAAUACUACAAAUAAAAAUUAUAGUAUCUUGAAAAUAAAAAAUAAUACUAGGUCUUUAACAUUAGUACUGGGACUUGCAGCAGAAAAGAGUAGUAAAAAUGAAGCAUAUUUCAAUAUAAACAACCGAAAAAUUAAAAUUAUGAAAUCUCAGUGACCUAAGAGAAAAUAUUAAGAAAAAAUAUAUGAAUUUAAUUGAAGGAGGAGGAGAGAGAGAUAAUAACGCUUUGUAGAAUAAAAAAUAAAUACAUACAGUUAUGUAUCACUUAAUCACAGUGAUAUACCCUGAGAAAUACAUUGUUAGAUAAUUUCAUCCUUGUGUAAACAUCAUAAAGUGUAUUAUUACAUAAAUCUAGAUAGCAUAGCCCACUACACACCUAGGCCAUAUAGUAUAAGCUAUUGCUCCCAGGCUACAAACCUGAAUAGCAUGGUACUAUGCUAAGAAAAGUACUAUACACAACUGUAAUACAGAGAAAGUCUUCAGAGAUAAUAACACACAUGGCUUUGUCAUCUUCUACAAUAAUGUCUUCUCCUGGAAUACUUCUUGAAGGACCUACCUGAGGCUAUUAUACUGCUAACUUAUUUUUUUAAGUAUGUCAAAGGAAUACAGUUUAAAAUAACAAUAAAAGGUAUAGUAUGGUAAAUACAUAAACCAGUAACAUAGUCAUUUAUAGUUAUUGCCAAGUAUUUUUGUACAACUUGCAGCACAGUAGAUUUAUUUCCAUCAGCAUGAUUACAAACAAAUGAGUAAUAAUGCCUUGU